GAUGAACGCUGGCGGCGUGCCUAAUACAUGCAAGUCGAGCGAACAGACGAGGAGCUUGCUCCUUUGAUGUUAGCGGCGGACGGGUGAGUAACACGUAGGUAACCUACCUAUAAGACUGGGAUAACUUCGGGAAACCGGAUCUAAUACCGGAUAAUAUUUCGAACCGCAUGGUGCGAUAGUGAAAGUUGGCUUUGCUAUCACUUAUAGAUGGACCUGCGCCGUAUUAGCUAGUUGGUAAGGUAACGGCUUACCAAGGCAACGAUACGUAGCCGACCUGAGAGGGUGAUCGGCCACCCUGGAACAGAGACACGGUCCAGACUCCUACGGUAGGCAGCAGUAGGGAAUCUUCCGCAAUGGACGAAAGCCUGACAGAGCAACGCCGCGUGAAUGAUGAAGGUCUUCGGAUCGUAAAACUCUGUUAUUAGGGAAGAACAAACGUGUAAGUAACUGUGCACGUCUUGACGGUACCUAAUCAGAAAGCCACGGCUAACUACGUG
rnacentral:rRNA from 1 species